GUUUAUCAGUCUUUCAAUUGGUUUGCUCAUUUCGAUCAGAGUAAAGACAUGUUUAAGUUCAUCUACUAAUACAGCCUGUCUUUUUGUACUAUGAUCCGAUCAUGUAAUACUACUUAGUAUAAUGUUAAAAUUCACUAUGAUCCGAUUAGAGUAAAGACAUGGGAGGAAAUCGUCAUUACUUUGAACAAAGUUGUCUUUUUG
rnacentral:lncRNA from 1 species